rnacentral:rRNA from 1 species
ACGGGGAGCAGCAGGCGCGAAAACUUUGCAAUACACGAAAGUGUGACAGGGCUAUCCCGAGUGCCAUCCGCUGAGGAAGGCUUUUACCCAGUCUAGAACGCUGGGGGAAUAAGGAGAGGGCAAGUCUGGUGUCAGCCGCCGCGGUAAUACCAGCUCUCCGAGUGGUGUGGAUGUUUAUUGGGCCUAAAGCAUCCGUAGCUGGCUAAGUUAGUCCCUUGUUAAAUCCACCGAAUUAAUCGUUGGAUUGCGGGGGAUACUGCUUGGCUAGGGGACGAGAGAGGCAGACGGUAUUUUUGGGGUAGGGGUGAAAUCCUAUAAUCCCAGGAAGACCACCAGUGGCGAAGGCUGUCUGCUAGAACGCGCCCGACGGUGAGGGAUGAAAGCUGGGGGAGCGAACCGGAUUAGAUACCCGGGUAGUCCCAGCUGUAAACGAUGCAAACUAGGUGUUUGAACGGCCACGUGCCGUUCUAGUGCCGCAGGGAAGCUGUUAAGUUUGCCGCCUGGGGAGUACGAUCGCAAGAUUGAAACUUAAAGGAAUUGGCGGGGGAGCAC